GGGCGGAAKUCRMYUUUCUGCCACCSAAUACAUUAGCAUGGGAUAAUGGAAUAGGACCCUGUCCUCCUWUUUUCAGUUGGUUUUGGCAGCGCGAGGACUAGGGUAAUGAUUAAUAGGGAUAGUUGGGGGCAUUAAUAUUUAAUUGUCAGAGGUGAAAUUCUUGGAUUUAUGAAAGAUUAACUUCUGCGAAAGCAUCUGCCAAGGAUGUUUUCAUUAAUCAAGAACGAAAGUUAGGGGAUCGAAGACGAUCAGAUACCGUCGUAGUCUUAACCAUAAACGAUGCCGACCAGCGAUUAGGAGACGUUGAAUACAAAACACCACCAUCGGCGCGGUCGUCCUUGGCGUUCGUGUUCACGCACGRGCGCGAGGGCGGYUUAGCCCGGUGGCACCGGUGAAUGACUCCCCUAGCAGCUUGUGARAWGGUCUCAUAAGYUGCUGGGGGAGUCCCUCCCCCGGUASAYGGUGGGAGGCWUCACACARGGUGSUGGGGGGGSAUCUCUCKCWAAAAAAUAGGGGGCCCCUCUCACGGUGURGGGGGGGGGUUCUCUCGUAGMAAAUUGUGGGGGCUWYUCUCARYGKURWGGGGGGGU
rnacentral:rRNA from 1 species